rnacentral:misc_RNA from 1 species
GUAACGGAUACCCAACAUGUAAAAUCGAACCCGAACCCAUCCUGAACUGAUCACGAGUAUUUGAAAUCCGAACCCGUCCCAAAUCCAACUAUAUACUACCCAAACCCGUCCUAUUAGGGUGCAGUCAGAUCGGACACUCGCAAAAACCCAACCCAUUGCCAUCCUGCUCUCCUUGCAAAGAAGACUAUUGUUAGCAGCCUCAAACAACAUGAACAAUAGCCCACCUUCUAUAUUUCCUAAUAUUGUCAACAUUUUCUGUGAACCCAAAAAAAAUCACAUUGGUUGAUGAGCCUCGACUGUUAAACCUCAAUGAAUCACUAGACAAUGGAUUUUCCCCCCAUUGACAAAGUAGUAAUUUAGACUUAGAAUCAGAUAAAUCAAGGGAGAAUUAGAAUUUCAGAAUGCAAGUCAACAAUCAAAGUAUUGUUCGAGUUAACAAGUAAUCACAGGAAUCCUUUUCUACCACAUUAUCCCAAAAUGCCAAAUUGUUUUGGAAUUAACAAGAGAAACCAUUUUCUCCAUAUUAUGCAAUUUAAGAUUUCAACUUCCAUGUGAUCAUAACAGGAAAAAAUCUUUCACAGCAGUUAUGCACAAAAUUACCAUGAACAUUUACUCAGUUCUUAACUUCUUGUAGCACUAUUAACUAUUGAGGAAAUCAAAUCACAUAAAUCACAUAAUGGAAGCUUUCCGUGAUUCAUCUCUUUUUUUUUCCUACAAUGAAAAAGAUAUAACUAACCUGCAUGUGGAUUUCUUUCAAAAACAAAACACACUCACACAAGCGCAUACUUGCACGCAAGAACUAAUAAGUAAUAGUGCUAAAGGAGGACAGGAACAGGAGAAAAGUAGCAGAAAGCAAUGACGAGUACUCUACUUGCACAUAGAGAAAAGUCCUUUAAAAAAAAUGUAAAUCGUUUUCCUUGUUUUAUCAUGAUUAUAAAACGCAUCAGCCCAAA